UACGAGUGCCCCAAGCGUUAUCCGGAAUCAUUGGGCGUAAAGGGUGUGUAGGUGGUUGUGUUAGUCUUCUGUAAAAUUCUUCGGCUCAACCGGGGACCUGCGGAGGAAACGGCACAACUAGAGGAUGCGAGGGGUGAAUGGAACUCAUGGAGUAGGGUGAAAUCCGUUGAUAUCAUGGGGAACACCAAAAGCGAAGGCAAUUCACUGGCGCAUUCCUGACACUGAAACACGAAAGCGUGGGUAGCGAACUGG
rnacentral:rRNA from 1 species